GCAUAUCAAUAAGCGGAGGAAAAGAAACCAACAGGGAUUGCCCUAGUAACGGCGAGUGAAGCGGCAACAGCUCAAAUUUGAAAUCUGGCUCUUUUAGAGUCCGAGUUGUAAUUUGCAGAGGGCGCUUUGGCUUUGGCAGCGGUCCAAGUUCCUUGGAACAGGACGUCACAGAGGGUGAGAAUCCCGUACGUGGUCGCUGGCUAUUGCCGUGUAAAGCCCCUUCGACGAGUCGAGUUGUUUGGGAAUGCAGCUCUAAAUGGGAGGUACAUUUCUUCUAAAGCUAAAUAUUGGCCAGAGACCGAUAGCGCACAAGUAGAGUGAUCGAAAGAUGAAAAGCACUUUGGAAAGAGAGUCAAACAGCACGUGAAAUUGUUGAAAGGGAAGCGCUUGCAGCCAGACUUGCUUACAGUUGCUCAUCCGGGUUUUUACCCGGUGCACUCUUCUGUAGGCAGGCCAGCAUCAGUUUGGGCGGUAGGAUAAAGGUCUCUGUCACGUACCUCCUUUCGGGGAGGCCUUAUAGGGGAGACGACAUACUACCAGCCUGGACUGAGGUCCGCGCAUCUGCUAGGAUGCUGGCGUAAUGGCUGUAAGCGGCCCGUCUUGAAAC
rnacentral:rRNA from 1 species